rnacentral:rRNA from 1 species
GACGAACGCGGCGGCGUGCCUAAUACAUGCAAGUCGAGCGAAGUUUUUCUGGUGCUUGCACUAGAAAAACUUAGCGGCGAACGGGUGAGUAACACGUAAAGAACCUGCCUCAUAGACUGGGACAACUAUUGGAAACGAUAGCUAAUACCGGAUAACAGCAUUAACUGCAUGGUUGAUGUUUGAAAGUUGGUUAUGCUAACACUAUGAGAUGGCUUUGCGGUGCAUUAGCUAGUUGGUGGGGUAAGGGCCCACCAAGGCGACGAUGCAUAGCCGACCUGAGAGGGUGAUCGGCCACACUGGGACUGAGACACGGCCCAGACUCCUACGGGAGGCAGCAGUAGGGAAUCUUCCGCAAUGGGCGAAAGCCUGACGGAGCAACGCCGCGUGAGUGAAGAAGGAUUUCGGUUCGUAAAGCUCUG